rnacentral:rRNA from 1 species
AUGAACGCUGGCGGCGUGCUUAACACAUGCAAGUCGAGCGAGCUAAUGCUUGGCACUGUGUACUUAGUUGAUUGAUGUGGUGUAAUAAUUAGCCAGCGUCAAGGGCGAAGCGGAGCAGAGUCCUUCACGCGUUCUAAAGUGAUAACACAUGUGACUGAGUAUUGAGUGCUAAGCAUUAGCUAGCGGCGGACGGGUGAGUAACGCGUGGGCAACCUGCCUUGUACAGAGGGAUAGCCACUGGAAACGGUGAUUAAUACCUCAUAAAACUAUUUUAUCGCAUGAUGAGAUAGUCAAAACUCAGGUGGUACAAGAUGGGCCCGCGUCUGAUUAGCUAGUUGGUGGGGUAAAGGCCUACCAAGGCGACGAUCAGUAGCCGACCUGAGAGGGUGAUCGGCCACACUGGAACUGAGACACGGUCCAGACUCCUACGGGAGGCAGCAGUGGGGAAUAUUGCACAAUGGGCGAAAGCCUGAUGCAGCAACGCCGCGUGAGCGAAGAAGGCCUUCGGGUCGUAAAGCUCUGUCCUAAGGGAAGAAAAAUGACGGUACCUUAGGAGGAAGCCCCGGCUAACUACGUGCCAGCAGCCGCGGUAAUACGUAGGGGGCAAGCGUUAUCCGGAAUCACUGGGCGUAAAGGGUGCGUAGGCGGCCAAAUAAGCCAGGGGUGAAAGGCUACGGCUUAACCGUAGUAAGCCCUUGGAACUAUUUGGCUUGAGUGCAGGAGAGGAGAGUGGAAUUCCUAGUGUAGCGGUGAAAUGCGUAGAUAUUAGGAGGAACACCAGUGGCGAAGGCGACUCUCUGGACUGCAACUGACGCUGAGGCACGAAAGCGUGGGGAGCGAACAGGAUUAGAUACCCUGGUAGUCCACGCCGUAAACGAUGAGUACUAAGUGUUGGGUGUCAAAGCUCAGUGCUGCAGUUAACGCAAUAAGUACUCCGCCUGAGUAGUACGUUCGCAAGAAUGAAACUCAAAGGAAUUGACGGGGGCCCGCACAAGCGGUGGAGCAUGUGGUUUAAUUCGAAGCAACGCGAAGAACCUUACCAGGACUUGACAUCCCUUUGACAGGUUUGUAAUGGGACCCUUCCCUUUUGGGACAAAGGAGACAGGUGGUGCAUGGUUGUCGUCAGCUCGUGUCGUGAGAUGUUGGGUUAAGUCCCGCAACGAGCGCAACCCUUGUCUUUAGUUGCCAGCACUAAGGGUGGGCACUCUAGAGAGACUGCCGGUGACAAACCGGAGGAAGGUGGGGAUGACGUCAAAUCAUCAUGCCCCUUAUGUUCUGGGCUACACACGUGCUACAAUGGCUGGUACAACGGGCAGCUAAGGAGCAAUCUGGAGCUAAUCCCAAAAAGCCAGUCCCAGUUCGGAUUGUGGGCUGCAACUCGCCCACAUGAAGUCGGAGUUGCUAGUAAUCGUGAAUCAGAAUGUCGCGGUGAAUGCGUUCCCGGGUCUUGUACACACCGCCCGUCACACCAUGGAAGCCUAAGGCACCCGAAGUCAGCGAGUUAACCCUUGUGGGAACAGCUGCCGAAGGUGAAAUAGGUGACUGGGGUG